AGGAGGUGUCCAUGUAAAUGAGGUCCUUCUAGUGACAGCCCAGACCCCCCUCCCAAGCCCUGAUGCUUCAGCUCAGCUGAAGGACACACCCUGGGGACAACGGAGGUUGGCAUCACCACUGAGGAGACCGCUGGGAGGAAGCACCUGCAGACACAGCACAUAGGUCCUUGCUCAGGGGAACUUGUCACAACAGAAGUGACACAGAUGAUUCCUGUGCAUUAAAGCAAUGGAUACCAGCUGCAGUCCAUUAAAGAGACUGGGGCCUCAACUCUGGACUCAUCAAGAGCUUCCUAGAGGUAGUGACAGCUGCAUAUAUGCGGUGUUCUUCCUCUGGAUGUCCUUCAACCUGACCUCACAGAAGUUCUAAUAAGGUAUGGGCCAUCAGAAGGGCACCAUCCAUGUCAUUCACUGAUCUUUUUACCACCUCUAGAUUUCUACUUCUUCCAAAGUGGAAUACAAUUACAAGUAGAUAGAAGGCAGCCAUUUAGAUGUUCU